AACCUAGCACACCUGCGGUGUGUACCUGCGGAAGGAUCAUUACAGAGUUGCAAAACUCCCUAAACCAUUGUGAACGUUACCUAAACCGUUGCUUCGGCGGGCGGCGCGCCCUCGCGCGCGCCCCUGGGCCCCACCGCGGGCGCCCGCCGGAGGUCACCAAACUCUUGAUAUUAAUUGGCCUCUCUGAGUCUUCUGUACUGAAUAAGUCAAAACUUUCAACAAUGGAUCUCAGAUCGGAAG
rnacentral:misc_RNA from 1 species